CAAGGACGGAGAUUGCGUCACGAAACAGAUCCUUGAGAAUGUUUAGAGGAGGACAGUCCUCUUGAUUCUGGGGGAGUAUAUCAGGAUUAUCCAACACUGUUUGGAGGUCGCGGUACUCUUCAAGCAGUUGGAGCAAUAGUGAUCGAUACAUCCCUGAGGUUGACCUCUCCAGGGAUCCACCCCGAGCAUUAAAAAAGGAAGCAGUUUUGACAUCGGCACGACAUGCUCUUUUCAUAUUGGAGUAUGCAAACUUCAUGAUGGUCGACUUACCCGCACCAGGCUUGCCACUGAUCCACAAAAAUCCAUGGUGUUGUAUAAAUCUUGUGGAAUCAAGCCAUGCUUUAUAGCCGGGAUGGUUAAGAAGCCAUUGACAUGUUUUCUUGUAAUUGUCAUUGAUAUUGAUCCUACGAGAAUCCAUUUGUUUGAAUCCAAGGGACUUCAUCAGCAGCUGGCGGCGAUUCUCAGGUCUAUUCCGAUCUAGACAUUCGGUGUAAGCAGAGGCAAAGUUGUUCCAACUGCCAUUGAGUUCACUCACCAGGGCUAGUUAAAUAAGCAACUACUGGUUGCUCUUGAAUCACAGGUAGCUCCUCAAUCAAUUCCCUUGCAUAUGCAGCCGCGGUCGCUGCCGCAUAUCUUUGCCAUUCUUCGUUCUUAUGGGAAUCUGAGUAGUCACAGAUCCCACGAACUGGGAGGCAUGGGAUUAUAUCCAUAGUGCCUGCGGCUUCCAUUUCAAAACAUAUAAUAUCUAGUUCUCGAGCAACAUUGUCUCGGGUGAUGCCGUGCUUCAUAACUUGGUUUCCUGAAGCAAUCGCACCGUAAUGGAUCUUUAUGGUGCCGGGGGGGUCGUAUACUCCGGGGUAUAACCUUUGACUGAUCGCAGGAAUCACAGUUAGAUGUUUGUGAGCGAUGUUCAUAUGUCGCCCGGAAAAGGCGAUCUGGAGCAUUCGGUCGACCAUACUCAAUGUAACGUUCUAGCUUUUGCUGUAGAAUGGAUGGGAUUCGACUGGCAUUUAGUUCGUGUUUCGCUCGGAGAUGGUUCAGAGCUGUCCCCAGCAAUGGAGACUGGACUUUGGGAACAGCUGUUCGCUCGAACUUUCCAUCUGCGACAAUCUUCCCAAGAUCGUACUGCAUUAUUCUUGUUCCAACAACCACAUCGCCUAAGCGUAUAUCCCCCUUGCUUGGCACGCCCCCGCCAAUCCCAACCAUCAAGGUCAUUAAUAUUUUCGGAAAGGUUCGUUUUAGGUUCGUUGCGACGGUUGCUGCAUUGACUAUUCCGUACUGGCCUGCUGGUAAACAGGAAAUGACGAUGUUUCGCCUCUUAAUACUUCCCAGCACGUAGCUAUUUGUAUCAUCUGGGUUCCUUGGAAGGGAUUCAUGAACGUCAUCUAGCAUCGCAUGAGCAGCUGCAAGUUCUAUGUGCAGUGCGCAAAUCCAGGCGAUACUGUAAUGUUCAUGUUGUAGAAUAGUAGUAAGACCGCCCUCGUGGAAAACCUUCUGUCACUUCGAAGCAGAAUGCCCUUCAGGCCCAUGACUGUCGUCGUCCAUUUUUGCCUGGCUUUCAGUAAAAAUCAGGACUGUUGGUAAAAGACGAGGAUAGAUGAUCUAUGGUUUGGAAUUUUUUUCUGGAGGUGUGAGGAGGCACACUAUAGACAAGGCUACUCCAUGCUCACUGCCCGGGGCUGUGCGCGAGAACAGGUCCUUACUGUCAUCCAAUAAAAUGACAAGUCUCCAUGUCCGCUGCAUGGUUAGUGGGAAGAUCGGAGAUCACGCAAAUCGCCAUAAUUUUGCCUUACUAGGCAUGAGGAUACCAGGUGGAUCGCCGUUGCGCGACUAUCUUCAAUAGAGUAGUUCGGUCUCACUUGGCAUAGGGUUUCAGAAACAAUCUAAGAGAGACCCUGACACUCCGAGUGUACAUUCUUGAUACUGGUUCAUCAGAAAGAGAACAUAAGAAAAGAUAGUUUGCAAAGUGCUGUACUGUAGAAUUGAACAGAGGCAACCGGAAUGCACUCUAACCAGGCAGCAGCCCAACUCCGGCUAGAAUGACA
rnacentral:lncRNA from 1 species